UACGUAGGGGGCUAGCGUUGUUCGGAUUCAUUGGGCGUAAAGGGUGCGUAGGCGGCGCGGUAAGUCGGGUGUGAAAUCUCGGAGCUUAACUCCGAAACUGCAUUCGAUACUGCCGUGCUUGAGGACUGGAGAGGAGACUGGAAUUUACGGUGUAGCGGUGAAAUGCGUAGAGAUGUGGAGGAACACCGAUGGCGAAGGCAGCCCCCUGGGUCAAGAUUGACGCUCAUGCACGAAAGCGUGGGGAGCAAACAGG
rnacentral:rRNA from 1 species